AAAUGGAGAAAUUGCAAAGGUCAUCACAAAGUCAGGCUUGCUGCAGAAGAUAGCACUGUGGGUGAACAGGAGAUACCCAAAGCUCCAGCUUCUGGACUGACUUACUCCAUUUGCUACCUUCUCUUUAAGCCUAGAUGACCAGAUGGAGAAUGGCUGCCCAGGCCCCUAGGGAAAAUCAGGACAUGUCUCCAGGGGCAAAUGCCUAGGCUCCAAAGCUCUUGCUACCAUCUAGAGGGAUGAAGCAGCCAUCAGGGUUUUGACUAGAAGGCAGGGGUCCUCAAAGCUGUGAAAGUCUGAUCUAUCAGAGGUGGCUGCCAAGCUGUGCUUUCUUCUGCAGAUGGCAAAAGAAAAAGAUGUGAAACAAGGACAUGUUUAAAUGGAAGAGAGAGGAAUGAGAGAGGAAGGCAAGAAUACAAAUAUUUAAGAAAGCUUUAUUUUCCUGAAGCAAAGAAUGACGCUUGAAACCGAGGGAAUCUCAAUGUCCACCUUGCAUUUCCAUGACCAGCAAGAGAGGGGAACCCCUACAGGUAAUCACCAUCGCCCUUGUCAUUGCAUCCACUCCUCCUCUCUCUCUGACUUGUGUUAAUGGUAGGUAACUGUGUAUGAAUCUAGGCUGGGGGUUUGUCUUUGAGGUCAAGGACUAUUUCUGAUUCACUGUGUGUCUCUCUAGAUCCUUCUUCCACCCAGCAAAGAUGCUCAAAAUAUAUAUACAAAUGAUA
rnacentral:lncRNA from 1 species